UUAUAAAUUCAGUUUCAUAAGACAACACAAACACAGUGAAGUAAAGUGUUGACAAAAACCAAUGGAGAUUGUAGGAAUGGGUUUUCGUCCCACAGAUGAAGAACUUGUCGACUUUUACCUCAAACACAAGUUGCUCGAUGAUGAUCCCCUUGUCCAUGUCUUGACUGACAUAGAUCUUUCCGACGUGGAACCUUGGGAAAUACCAGAGAUGUUAGCAAAAUCAGUAAUAGCAUUCAAAACCUCAGAAUGGUUUUUCUUCAGUCCUGUUAAUUUGAAGUACUCAAAUAGUAAAAGGUUUAAAAGGACAACCAAGAGUGGGUUCUGGAAACCAACGGGAAAACCCCGUGAUGUUAGAAAAGGGGACACCAAAACUGACAUUGGGACAAAGAAGACUCUUGUUUUCCAAAGUGGUAAUGUUUCCAAAGGUGUAACUGUCAAUUCCAACUGGGUUAUUCACGAAUAUCAUGCUCUUAACUUUCUCCAAAGCCAGAAUGCUUUUGUGUUAUGCCGCUUGAAAAAGAAACAUGGGAAAACGACCGAAGGAGGAACUGCUGCACUGAUCUCUGAUGAAGAGGAAUCCAGUAGAAGUGUGGUUUCUGACAAUGAACAUCAGGAUAUAGCAGAAGGAGUUCCAUCUGGAGGUACUUUUACCGGAAUGGAAACAAUCUGUCAGGCAAAACAUCAGGCGGAAAAAUGCAUCUCCCCAAUCGAACAGUCACUAAUUGAAUUUGAGAAAGAUGACGAUGCCUAUUUUAGAAAUGAAAAUAACAUUAGGCAGAUUCCUUGUGAAACUAUGCAGAUUCCCUGUGAAACUAUGCAAACUAUUGUGAUACCACACAAAUUUCUUUUGAAAGUUUGCAGAUUCCCCAUGAAUUUAUGCAGACUCCUUAUGAAACUAUGCAAGUUUCUUGUGAAACUAUGCAUAUUCUUUGUGAAACUAUGCAAAUUCCAUGUGAAAGUAUAGAAGCUCCAUCUGAAACUAUGCAGGUUCCUAGUGAAACUAUACAGGUUCCUAGUGAAACUAUAUAGAUUCCUUGUGAAACUAUAGCCGCUCCUUUUGGAAGUAUGCAGACCCCAUUAGAUACUAAACAAAUUCCUUCUGAAACUGCACGGAUUCUACUUGAACUCCAGAAUUCAUUAUUUGCUAAUGAAAGUUUAGUCCCUCAAUCAAAGUCAUUGAAAAGGGCAUAUUGCGAAAGCUCUUAUAUAGAUGCAGAAGUCGUCCCUAAACUUGACGCUAGUAUUGAGGAUAUUUCAACUAUGUAUACUGAAUAUCUUAAUUCAGACGAAUCUGGUUCAUCGAAAAGGCUUAAAACAUCAUAUGAUGUUGAACACGGUGACACACAUCUUCUAUUUUACAGCCAAGAAGCAAGUCAAGAGAAACAAGAAAGUAUAUAUCAAGAUGAUUUAUGGGGAUUGGAGACAUCCUCAUGUGACUCUACAACAAAUAAUUCUGUGGAGAUCAAUUGGAAUGAAAUAUCUAGUUUUGCUUGCACUUAAAGGUCAUGGGAAGAUCAGCAUCAUCUAAGACCAAACAAUUUCAUAUGAUGCGAACUAAGAACUUCGUACUAUUAAUGGAUUAGUGGUUAGGAGUAUAUGUUAUUAAAAGUAACUUUCUCUGUAAUAGCCACUUUAUUACAAAUUGCAAAAUGACAAUAAUGCAUUAAAGUUUAGAAGAAUAUAUAAUAGAAAAUCUAUUAGA